CCACACAAUUUUAGCUAGCUCAGCGAUGGUAGCUACUUAGCUAGUUAGCUCGUUUAGCGCUUGGUUCCCAGGUGGAGAAUGAAGUGACCACUCAACAAGACCAAGCUGCAGAUCUACAAGACAAAACAUCUCAGCCUCUCCUCAUCUAGUGGCUGUUCUGCAAGGGGGAGAAAAAGCCGGGGAACCGCUGAAGAAGGAGGAGAGAAGAAAAGGGAAAUACAUGUCUCACAUAAGGAUUGUGGAUGAUGGAGGAAAAAGUGGACUUGGGGUAAUCUGCCAGACAUGGAGAGGGAGCCGGAGGGUUCUGCUCAGUCAACCCGAAGUGGGCGAGUCAUGAUGAAGUGAAAAGAGCCCUCUGAGGAGGGUGAUCCAGGACCCCCCACAUGAACCAUGUCUGUGUUCCGAAGAAGAACGGGCAAACUUCCUCCCUUUCCUGUUGUUGCACAAAAGAGGGUCUUGCUCUGUCGUCAAGUCGCUUGACGAUCACGCAUCUUUUGUGAGGCAAGUCAACCAAAAGAGAAUUGUGUUUACUGAGAAUGAUAUCAGAAUACACAACGAUGAGAGAAACAUGGCUACCACAUGACAGCAGGUCAUGUGUCUUUCCCUUUUCCAUUGGGAAGACCUCGGUAGUCCUCCAUCACGGUCACCGUCCUAAGUCCUCAGUUGUGUUUUUCCCUGAUGUCGUCACACACAUGAGAAUUAAUAACAUAAAGUAUAGCAAACAUAACCUCAUGUCAAGUUGGCCUCUUAGAUGGGUCUGGUCACUAAAACCAAAGAUUGGAAGCAACGCUUGACCACGCCCACCGAGACAACCACCCGAGUGGACUGUAUACGUAUGAAAGUUGGAAGUUUGGACUUGAAAGUGGUGGAGUCAGUCUGUCCACCUCCCGUCCAUGGAGCAUUCCUUCAAGGGAGUCUUGGUGCCGUGGGAGCGUGUGAAGCACGCAGGUUAUUUGUUUUGUGGCCGACAUAUAAAAGCAGGUGAUGCUCCAUUGGCUGAAGUAAUGUUGCAGAGAAAGCCACGCUUGCGGCCAUUAGACAAUUAGUCAUUCGCUAGCUGCCUCAAGGGUUAGCAUCGCCUUUUAAACAACAACAAUCCCAUACACUGGAGGCCCUUUCUGGACCAUGUUAAAGACAUGAAUACUGUACGGAACAUGUGGAAUUACCGUCGUCCCUCGCGAUAUCAAGGUUCAAUUAUCACUCCCUCAUUAUGUCAUGGUUUUUCCGAGAUUAAUGAAUUAAUAAAUGAUGGAUGUUUGGUUGUAGACAAUCAUCUAUUAGUAGCAUUCUGGUCACCCCAACAGGAAGAAAUAGAGUGGCUACAAAAUGUAUCUUAAGAUUAAUAUUAAGAUAUGCCUUUAUUCGUCCCUCAGUGGGGAAAUUUGUAUUGCACAACAGCAAGAGUACAGAAUCAGUUAAGCAGUACAAAAUACACAAUAUAGUAAAAUAAACAAUAUAAACAACCCAAGUAUUAACAAAAAUCAACAGUUUUUCCCAGAGUUAUAUACAAUACAGUAUGUAUAAUAAUAUGAAACGAGAUGAGAUAUAUAACCAGUCUAUACACUGAGAUCUUGUUAGAGAGUUAAUAUGAGGCAUUAUGGAAAUACUUCACAUAGAACUUAGUAUAUUGCAUUUAAAACCCUUAAUAUUGCACAUGGAGGUUGAUCAGAUAUUGCACAAUACAGUAAACCUCGGAUAUAUCGGAAAUUCGCUCACAACGGACAGAUAAAA